AUGGAUCCUUCGGUUAAAUUUGAAGAAACUUGGAGGCCAUUUAUUCAAUAUUUUCAUAUGAUCCAGGAAGAAUGGGUUUCUUUCAGGUUCUGUUGAACUGCCACAAUUUACUUCACCAGAUACAGACUGCAUUGAAAGAAUACAUGCAAGCAAUAUACAGUGACUGCUGAUGUGAUCUGAUCAACUCCAAAGGAUUCAGCCCUGCAGCACACCCUAGGAAUCCAUUAUUUAAU